CCAAAGCAAACAGCCUUGGUUCUAACAUUAUUUUUGUCCUGCAGUUUUUCCCAUCAUCCAUUUUACUUUUAACAUUCCAAGCAUCUUCUUCUCCCUAUAAAGAAAAUUACAGACUUUGUCACUCUCACAUUUGUUUCCAGUUUUGGUUGACUAUUCUAGUCACCUAUUAUGCAUUAUUUUAUUUAUCAUAUUUUUUAAUAUAUAUUGAAUAUAUUGUUUUGAUCUAGGAAGCUCGGACACGGCUCAUCCCUCCUCGUACCGGUGUCAUAGGUGUGUCCAACACAGACACUCGUCGUACACGCCCGGAUACGUACGGGACACGCCGAAAUAUGUCAAAAGAAAAUAAUAAAAAAAAAGAGGGAUGAAAUUGGAGUGCUGAAAUUCAAAAUCAAACAAAAUGGGCUAAAUUAGAACGAAAAGUAAAGAGGAGGGCCAAAUUGAAGAAUUGAAGAAUUAGUGUUUAACCGGUUAAAAUCAUAUUUCUGAAAUUGUCAAAAUUCUAUAAAUAGUUUAAAUUUGAUUUUUAGUUGAUAUUUUCUUAAGAGAAAUCUUGCUAAAUUUAUUAUGAGGAAUAUGUAUAAAUACUGUGUUGUUGGCCUUUGAGAGACACAAUUGAAUACACACUUAAUUUGGGAAUAAAAUAAUUCAUUUCUUUUCUCCA